GCGCACCUGGACCAAUCGCGGAAAAGAGAGUUCUGCUCGACCAAUGAAGAGAAGGCAAAGGUGGAAGAGGGCGGGCCACCGAGGACGCGGGCCACGCCCGUGCGAUGAUCCGCUAACGGCGGCCGCACUCGCUGGUCCGAGACCGCCGGGUGAGGCGACAGCCCUGGGGGAAGCGCCGUGACAAGGGCUGCGGCUGGGCCGGAGCGCCCUAACAACGUCAGCAGCGGCUCGGUACCUCCUGGGCUGAGCGGGCGAGCUCCGCCUCCUCCUGCCGUCGCUGGGCGGACUUCUCGGGCCAGGGCCUCCCGCGCCGCCCCCACCCAGCCCCUGGAACAGCCUCCCCCUGCCGCCGCGGGCGAGCCCAGCCGCCCCACCCCGGCCUGCGAGGGCAGCCUGGCGGUGGCGGGCUCCAGCGUCCGCGGCCCAGCCGCAGAGCUAGGCGGGAGCUGCGGGCUUCUGGGUCCCGUUGGGGAACCCAGCCCCCCUGUCCGGCCUCUCGGGGCCCUGCCGUUGGACACGCGCCUCCAGGGCAGGAGCGGGCUCCCCACCAAGGGAGCAGCACCUGCGCUCGCACGCUUGGCAGGUGCCUGUUCCGAGCCCUGUGGAACACGUGGCCUCUUCGUGAAUUAGAUGGGUCAGUGCUUUGUACUUUAUUCUAGCCGUAAGGUACCUUGCACCUAGAUGUCUAAGCAGUGCUCGCCUACCUACCAACUCUGCCUGUUUACGAGGGAUCAUCCCUAUUUUUUACACAGUUCUUGGUGUCCAAUGUAGUUCAAAGUCAUCCAUAUUUUUCUUUGCUUACAUCCUUAUUUAUAGCUUUCUGGUGGUGGCAGGUAUGUAUCUGUUGUGUUUAUUAUACAAACUGGCUAGAACUAUAAAUACAACCUCCUCCAUUUCUCCCCAAACAGGUCAACCUGAUCAAAAAGCCUAUUUCACUGGCAUGUUAGUUGAUAGUCUGGCAACAGAAAUUAGGAAUCUGUCACAGUUACGCCUGUUACUAUUUUGUUUUGUUUUUAUUAUUGGCAUAGUGCCAAUAGUGCUAGGUCUUUUCAAAUGUAUUUGCUUUGUUUUGACAUAAAACAAUAAAGAGCACCCACACUCAGGCUCUGAGCACCCCACCAGUUAUUUAAAAUUACAAAACCAAAUACACAGUUCAGUCAAUUCAUAAUCCAGUGCUACCACUCCUGUACAUGAACCUCUACUUCAGUCUCCUGCACACAGAAAAUCAAGGUUUUAAAACUCAGAAAUUCUAAGAUCAGAAGGAACCAUUGUGAUUAUCUAAUCUGCCCGCCUGUACUGCACAGACCAUAGAAUUUCCCCUAGUAAAUCCUGCAGCAAGUUCAGUAACUUGUGGUUGAAUUAGAAUGUAUCCUUUUUUAGAAGGACAUUCAAUCUUGAUUUGAUGCUGAUUUAUUUACCUCUGUGGAGACCACUAUAUACCUUUUCUGUUUACAAUUCCCAUGCCAACAAUAACUGGCUUCUUUGAACAUAGGUAGCUCACUUAAUAUGCUGUUAAGUUUCUUUUACACUUUACUGUCCAUGUUCAAUGUAGCUUAAUUACAUCUUUUAUUCUGGGAAAGGUCUAUGUACUGUACAGGAGGUCAGAGUAGAUGAUCACAGUGGUUCCCUUCUGACCUUAGAAUCUAUGAAUCUGCUGCUGGUACUAUGAAUAAAUUUCAUAACUUCUGUAUAUUUAAAAUCUCCACUACAAUAUUUCAUUAACUUAUUUUUCAUUUAAUAUCCUUAAUUGAUAAGGAGCCACGAGUGCACAUUUAAACUGAAAAUAUUUGAAUAUUUGAGAUACAGUUAAACCCAGAGAAUGUUUGUGCAAUUGCACAUCCAAAUACAGUAUGUAUGUACAGUACAUGGGAUCAUAUGCACAUAUACUGUAUGGUUACUUGAUUGUUUCAGUGCUUACAAAAUCAGUAGAAAAUAAGCACAUAUGGGCAUCUGAACCCAGGCACCUUGUUACAUGGUUCUGAGUGAUCUGAAAUAGUGCUGAAUACAGUUUGUCCGUGUCUGAACAUGCAGCUAAAUUGUGUUCAGCGUAUUGGUGAUGCCCAUUUUCACCAGUGGAUCAUUUUUUCCAAAUGUAGACAAAUUUUGUGUGUUCCCAGCAGCUUCAAAAUAAAGAUUUGUUUUUAACUUAGAUAAUUUUUUCACUUCCAGGUCUGAGAGAGACAGACAAGGUUUUCAUCUCAAGGCCAAAAGACAUCUGUGUCAUGUCUUCAUUGGAAGGGACUUACAUUACCCAUUGACAAUUUUUUCACGAUCUUCAACUUCUCUUGCCUUAUACAGGCCCAUGUCCUUCUAAGGAAACUGUCUGUUUCUAUUGUCCAGGCCUAGAAACUGAAAUCCUACAUGAAUGGAACAUCUACACUCUAGACAAUUACAGAACAAGUUUCUCUACCCCACCCCAAUCCACCAAUGUUUCUCACUCCUGAUCUGGAGGAUAAAGGUAAUUCUGACUCCAUGCCCUUUCAUUUCCUGUCCUCGGCUCAGAGUCCCAACAGGGUGUCAGUCGUGAUAGAUGAUGGUUUUGUGACAUGAACACCUGUCUGUUGGGAGUUGUACAGGGACCAACUCAUUUCACAGAAGCCACUGAAGAGCCAUCAGAUGGUAAUGACUUUCAGUCCCUGUUGACCUGGGCCAAUUUGAAUCGGUGAUCUAGGGGUGAAAGGCUCCAUAUUCCAUUACCAGUUUUCUGAGCCAUCAAGUCUACUCCAUUCCGCCCCUACUACUUCUGUACAGAUAUAUUUGAUAGCAUUUUUCUAAAUGCUAUCAUCCAUACGGACGUCUGCCAUCAUUUGUUGAUACGGUCAAUCAAUACUACAUUAAAUGUUACUUUUCAGUUUACCCUUAAUUGUCUAAAGUAUAUGUGGAAUUUCAUUAUUUAUAUUACUCUGCCAUUAAAUUAUGCAUUACAGAUUAAAAGAAUAAAAGGCUUGUUUACAUUAUUAUUAUUGCUCUGGCAUCAACUUUUGGAUUUCUGUGUAAAGAAAUUAAUUUCCUUUCGGAGGGGGAGAAAUGGGGAAUGACAAGCACUAGCUCCUGCUGCCUCUGGGACAUAAUUAUGCUCGCAAACACAAAACUGGAAAAAUCAUGACCUCAACACAGUUGAGACUCUUGAAAGUUUCAUCUCAGCAUGAAGCUAUGUUUUAAUUAUUAUUUUUGUCUGCAUUGUUCAGCUUGUCAGUGCACCAACUAGAAUAAGUUCUUAUCCUAGUUAAUUCUUCAUGAGGCUUAUGUCACUGGAAGAUGCUUUUAAUUUAUUUUCUCCCCUCCCCCCACAUUUAAUCCAACACUGACAAAAAGGUUAUCUGUAAACAUUAAACAAAGGGUCUUACUGCUUUAAACUCCCCUUGACUUCAAUUGACUUUGGCUAGGGGGAAGAAGUAUGCUGUGGAUGCAUGUUUGGUAGAAUUUACAAAUUAAACUUUCGGUGUUUUAAUGUAUUAAGUUUUCUGUAUGGUAGAGAAGUUUUGUUUUUACCUGAGUACUGAGUUUAGACUCUACCUCUAGUCAGUUAUUAGAGAGCUGUAUAUAUAUUUACUGAUUUUCCCCCUAAGAUUUAAUGAUGUCAAAAUCUCUGAAGUAUUAUGUGAUACUUUUCCUCCAAUGCAAUCUUUGGAAUUCUAAGGCUCUUUCUACAAGAACUUAUAUAAUUAUUACACCGAAAUGAUAUCAUGGUGUAUGAUGUAUGACAGGAUUAUACCUGCUGCAUGUACAGUAAAAGCUUUGUUAUCCAGCUUGUUGGGGGAAUGGGAGGUGCCGGUUAGUCAAAAAUUCUGGUUAACUAAGAGUUAUACUUACUAAUGGAACGAUGGAGUUUGGGUACAGGAGGGGGCUCAGGACUGGGGUGCAGGAAUGCAGGCUCUGGGAGGGAGUUUGGGUGCAGGAGGGGGUUGGGGGGCAGGAGGAGUUUCAGGGUGCCUGAUCCCAGCAGCACUCACCUCAGGUGGCUCCCCAUAAGCAGUGACCUGUCCCCUGCUGCUCCUAGGUGGAAGCGUGGUCAGGUGACUCUCUGUGCUGCCUCUGCCUGCAGGCGCUGCCCCUGCAGCUCCCAUUGGUAGCGGUUCCCAGCCAAUGGGAGCUGCAGAGCCAGCAGGCAGGGCGGGGGCAGUGCACAGAGCUCCAGUGGCCAUUCCUCCACCUAGGACCAGCAGGGAUAUGUUGCUGCUUCCAGGGAGCCACACAGAGCAAGAUAGGGAGCCUGCUGGCCUCAGGCCAACUGGACUUCUAAUGGAUAUCAGAAAUGCUUGUUUCUAGAGCUUUCCGGUUGGUAAAAUGCCAGAUAACACAGCUUUUACUGUACUUAGAUAAUGCCUUGAUGUAUAACAUAUUUGGAAAAACUGAAAUUAUUUUCCAUGUGGUAACUUGUGUUAAUAUUUCAAAAGCAAUUAAAUAUAAGAGAAAAAAAUAAAACUUACAAGACUUGUCAUUUAAUAUGA